GACGUAGGGCGCGAGCGUUGUCCGGAUUUAUUGGGCGUAAAGAGCUCGUAGGCGGCUUGUCGCGUCGUCUGUGAAAUCCCGCGGCUCAACUGCGGGUCUGCAGUCGAUACGGGCAGGCUAGAGUUCGGUAGGGGAGACUGGAAUUCCUGGUGUAGCGGUGAAAUGCGCAGAUAUCAGGAGGAACACCGGUGGCGAAGGCGGGUCUCUGGGCCGAUACUGACGCUGAGGCGCGAAAGCCCAGGGGGAGCGAACGGGG
rnacentral:rRNA from 1 species